rnacentral:rRNA from 1 species
GAUGAACGCUGGCGGCGUGCCUAAUACAUGCAAGUCGAGCGAAUGGAUUAAGAGCUUGCUCUUAUGAAGUUAGCGGCGGACGGGUGAGUAACACGUGGGUAACCUGCCCAUAAGACUGGGAUAACUCCGGGAAACCGGGGCUAAUACCGGAUAACAUUUUGAACCGCGUGGUUCGAAAUUGAAAGGCGGCUUCGGCUGUCACUUAUGGAUGGACCCGCGUCGCAUUAGCUAGUUGGUGAGGUAACGGCUCACCAAGGCAACGAUGCGUAGCUGACCUGGGAGGAGGAUCGGCAACACUGGGACUGAGACACGCCCCAGACUCCUACGGGAGGAAGCAGUAGGGAAUCUUCCGCAAUGGACGAAAGUCUGACGGAGCAACGCCGCGUGAGUGAUGAAGGCUUUCGGGUCGUAAAACUCUGUUGUUAGGGAAGAACAAGUGCUAGUUGAAUAAGCUGGCACCUUGACGGUACCUAACCAGAAAGCCACGGCUAACUACGUGCCAGCCGCCGCAGUAA